GUGAGGAAUAUUGGACAAUGGGCGCAAGCCUGAUCCAGCCAUGCCGCGUGCAGGAAGACGCAUCUAUGGUGUGUAAACUGCUUUUGUACGGGAAGAAACACUCCCUCGUGAGGGAGCUUGACGGUACCGUAAGAAUAAGGAUCGGCUAACUCCGUGCCAGCAGCCGCGGUAAUACGGAGGAUCCAAGCGUUAUCCGGAAUCAUUGGGUUUAAAGGGUCCGUAGGCGGUUUAAUAAGUCAGUGGUGAAAGCCCAUCGCUCAACGAUGGAACGGCCAUUGAUACUGUUAGACUUGAAUUACAAGGAAGUAACUAGAAUAUGUAGUGUAGCGGUGAAAUGCUUAGAUAUUACAUGGAAUACCAAUUGCGAAGGCAGGUUACUACUUGUGGAUUGACGCUGAUGGACGAAAGCGUGGGGAGCGAACAGGAUUAGAAACCCUUGUAGUCC
rnacentral:rRNA from 1 species